UUAAUUGUGGGUGAUUUAGGGGAAGGAAUUUAAAUAUGUUUUUCUUUUUGACAAGAUUUGGCAUUUAAGAAAUUUUCCUAUUUUCUCAUACAAGCUUGUGAUUUAUGAUCAAUUUCUUCCCUUGGUUGAUUCUCCCUCUUAAAAAGAAAAUUUUCUUGCAGGAUUAGGAAAGAAAAUAGCAUGAAAGUUUUCUUUUUCCUUGCUCACAUCACCAACCUUAUAAUUUAGCUUUUAAUUUCUCCAAAAUAAACAAAAGAUUAGGUGUUUUGUCUAUUUGUGAACAUGGGAACUCCUAAAAGAGUAUUGGAUCCUCCAAGAAAAGUGAGU
rnacentral:lncRNA from 1 species